GAUGAACGCUGGCGGCGUGCUUAACACAUGCAAGUCGAACGGAAAGGCCCAAGCUUGCUUGGGUACUCGAGUGGCGAACGGGUGAGUAACACGUGGGUGAUCUGCCCUGCACUUCGGGAUAAGCCUGGGAAACUGGGUCUAAUACCGGAUAGGACCACAUUUUGGAUGGUGUGGUGGAAAGUUUUUCGGUGUGGGAUGAGCUCGCGGCCUAUCAGCUUGUUGGUGGGGUAAUGGCCUACCAAGGCGUCGACGGGUAGCCGGCCUGAGAGGGUGUACGGCCACUUUGGGACUGAGAUACGGCCCAGACUCCUACGGGAGGCAGCAGUGGGGAAUAUUGCACAAUGGGCGCAAGCCUGAUGCAGCGACGCCGCGUGGGGGAUGACGGCCUUCGGGUUGUAAACUCCUUUCGCUAGGGACGAAGCGUUAUGUGACGGUACCUGGAGAAGAAGCACCGGCUAACUACGUG
rnacentral:rRNA from 1 species